rnacentral:tRNA from 1 species
UCCCAGGUAGCUCAGUGUAAAGAAUCUGCCUCCCAAGCAGAAGAUGUGGGUUCAAUCCUCGGAUUGGGAA